rnacentral:rRNA from 1 species
GAUGAAUGCUGGCGGCGUGCCUAAUACAUGCAAGUCGAGCGGUAACAGGGAGUUCCACCGUUUCCUUGACACACCUAGCGCUUUAUCGUAGGUUGUGAAAACUUCGAGGGAACUGUGGAAUUCUGCUGACGAGCGGCGGACGGCUGAGUAACACGUGGGAACGGACCCCAAACUGAGGGAUAACUAGUCGAAAGAUUAGCUAAAUACCGCAUAUGAUCUUCGGAUUAAAGCUUUCGAGCGGUUUGGGACUGGCCUGCGCACGAUUAGAUAGUUGGUAGGGUAAUGGCCUACCAAGUCGACGAUCGUUAGAUGGUUUGAGAAGAUGAUCAUCCAGACUGGGACUGAGACACGGCCCAG